UACGUAGGGUGCGAGCGUUGUCCGGAAUUAUUGGGCGUAAAGAGCUCGUAGGCGGUUUGUCGCGUCUGCUGUGAAAUCCCGAGGCUCAACUUCGGGUCUGCAGUGGGUACGGGCAGGCUAGAGUGCGGUAGGGGAGAAUGGAACUCCUGGUGUAGCGGUGGAAUGCGCAGAUAUCAGGAAGAACACCGAUGGCGAAGGCAGUUCUCUGGGCCGUAACUGACGCUGAGGAGCGAAAAGCGUGGGGGAGCGAACAGG
rnacentral:rRNA from 1 species